GAAAGAAGGUCAUGUGUUGGAAGAGUCGGCUGAAGUAUUGAACCACAGACUGGGAAAUGAGGCUCCAAGAUAACCACGCUGAUUAAUGUCACCAACGCAGUAAAUCAUGGAGAAAGGACCUGGAUGUCUGAAAACAAAUUAUUUUACAAGUGGAAAAGUUAACAAAGAAUGUACAAUGUUUUCUGAAAAUGUGUAAUUCUCUUCAUCGUUUUGAACUGUGACUUCUGGAAAUCUGCUCACUGGUGAUGGAGAUAGUCACGGAAGUAUCACCCAUCAGGACACAGUAAGAUGCAGCCUCUUCUCCUCCCUGAUUACUCUCAUUUUGGACAAAAUAUGCCUACGAUAUGUAGCAAGACUAACAUAAUUUUCCUGUUAGAACUUCAAGAAUUAAGAUUCAGUGUUGCUAAUCCUUGAUUUGUUUUCUGCGAUACAGAAGACAGGCCCUGAGACUCUGGUGACUUGGUGGUAUAAAGUGAAGAGCACUGGACUGCAAAUAAGGAAUCCUGUACUCAGAACCCUGCA
rnacentral:lncRNA from 10 species